AUAUAACUCACUGUUUUGUUAAUGUGAGUAUAGAAUGGAACAAAAGUAACCAAACAUUGAAAUUGUGUCUGUGUGUGAGUGACUUACUUUCCAAUAUAUAUUUACUCUUUUUCAUUCACUCAAAAUUCUUAUUCUUAAUUCUUUCCAUCUGUUCUUAUCAUCCCGGAUUUCCUCAUGUAUUCAUUUGUUCAUUUCCUACAUGAAACUGUUCUUCAUUAUUCCGCUUUCAACCCACAAUAUUUUAUUUCGCAUCACGUCU
rnacentral:lncRNA from 1 species